rnacentral:misc_RNA from 1 species
UAUUUAUCUAAAAUUUGGAACAAAAGUGUGGCACCAGCUAGGCACAUAUUCUUAUUCUGUGCACUACUUGUAAGGUCUGAUACCUAAUUCUAGAGAUGAUGUCCUGUAACUUUUCAAUCGGAAGACAAGCUACAUCGAAGACAAAUAUUCUACCCAAAAUAUAAGUCAGAUUCUGAACUUUGAAGUUAAAAUUUCUAACAAGUAUGAAAACUAAAAA